UACGUAGGGCGCAAGCGUUAUCCGGAAUUAUUGGGCGUAAAGGGCGCGUAGGCGGCUUUGCAAGUGACGGGUGAAAUCCCUCGGCUUAACCGAGGAACUGCCUGUCAGACUGCAUGGCUUGAGACCGGGAGAGGUGAGUGGAAUUCCCAGUGUAGCGGUGAAAUGCGUAGAUAUUGGGAGGAACACCAGUGGCGAAGGCGGCUCACUGGACCGGUACUGACGCUGAUGCGCGAAAGCGUGGGGAGCAAACAGG
rnacentral:rRNA from 1 species